UAGCUAGUUGGUGAGGUAAAGGCUUACCAAGGCGACAAUCUGUAGCGGGUCUGAGAGGAUGAUCCGCCACACUGGAACUGAGACACGGUCCAGACUCCUACGGGAGGCAGCAGUGGGGAAUUUUGGACAAUGGGGGCAACCCUGAUCCAGCCAUGCCGCGUGGGUGAAGAAGGCCUUCGGGUUGUAAAGCUCUUUCGGCCGGGAAGAAAUCGCAUGGGCCAAUACCCUGUGUGGAUGACGGUACCGGAAUAAGAAGCACCGGCUAACUACGUGCCAGCAGCCGCGGUAAUACGUAGGGUGCGAGCGUUAAUCGGAAUUACUGGGCGUAAAGCGUGCGCAGGCGGUUUUGUAAGACAGGCGUGAAAUCCCCGGGCUUAACCUGGGAACUGCGUUUGUGACUGCAAGGCUAGAGUACGGCAGAGGGGGGUGGAAUUCCACGUGUAGCAGUGAAAUGCGUAGAGAUGUGGAGGAACACCAAUGGCGAAGGCAGCCCCCUGGGUCGAUACUGACGCUCAUGCGCGAAAGCGUGGGUAGCAAACAGGAUUAGAUACCCUGGUAGUCCACGCCCUAAACUAUGUCAACUAGGUGUUGGGUGGGUAAAACCAUUUAGUACCGUAGCUAACGCGUGAAGUUGACCGCCUGGGGAGUACGGCCGCAAGGUUAAAACUCAAAGGAAUUGACGGGGACCCGCACAAGCGGUGGAUGAUGUGGAUUAAUUCGAUGCAACGCGAAAAACCUUACCUACCCUUGACAUGCCAGGAACUUGCCAGAGAUGGCUUGGUGCCCGAAAGGGAGCCUGGACACAGGUGCUGCAUGGCUGUCGUCAGCUCGUGUCGUGAGAUGUUGGGUUAAGUCCCGCAACGAGCGCAACCCUUGUCGUUAAUUGCCAUCAUUUAGUUGGGCACUUUAACGAGACUGCCGGUGACAAACCGGAGGAAGGUGGGGAUGACGUCAAGUCCUCAUGGCCCUUAUGGGUAGGGCUUCACACGUCAUACAAUGGUCGGUACAAAGGGUUGCCAAGCCGCGAGGCGGAGCCAAUCCCAGAAAGCCGAUCGUAGUCCGGAUUGCAGGCUGCAACUCGCCUGCAUGAAGUCGGAAUCGCUAGUAAUCGUGGAUCAGCAUGUCACGGUGAAUACGUUCCCGGGUCUUGUACACACCGCCCGUCACACCAUGGGAGCGGGUUCCGCCAGAAGUAGGUAGCCUAACCGCAAGGGGGGCGCUUACCACGGCGGGGUUCGUGACUGGGGUGAAGUCGUAACAAGGUAGCCGUAGGGGAACCUGCGGCUG
rnacentral:rRNA from 1 species